rnacentral:lncRNA from 1 species
CGCCGAGAGCCAGCGAGGGGAUGCCAGCAAGCUGUCACCUCUCAGAAAUACAGGAAGAACAUCAAUAAUGUUCGAAGUUAUAAAUUGCGGAGGCCAGAAGUCAGAAAACAAGGUGUCUGCAGGACCAACCUCUCCUCUGGAUGCUCUAGUGCGUUUUAUCACAAGAACAUGACCUUUAAGCACAAGAACACCUUGUAUUCCAC